AUUGAACGCUGGCGGCAGGCCUAACACAUGCAAGUCGAGCGGCAGCGGGAAAGUAGCUUGCUACUUUUGCCGGCGAGCGGCGGACGGGUGAGUAAUGCCUGGGAAAUUGCCCAGUCGAGGGGGAUAACAGUUGGAAACGACUGCUAAUACCGCAUACGCCCUACUGGGGAAAGCAGGGGACCUUCGGGCCUUGCGCGAUUGGAUAUGCCCAGGUGGGAUUAGCUAGUUGGUGAGGUAGUGGCUGACCAAGGCGACGAUCCCUAGCUGGUCUGAGAGGAUGAUCAGCCACACUGGAACUGAGACACGGUCCAGACUCCUACGGGAGGCAGCAGUGGGGAAUAUUGCACAAUGGGGGAAACCCUGAUGCAGCCAUGCCGCGUGUGUGAAGAAGGCCUUCGGGUUGUAAAGCACUUUCAGCGAGGAGGAAAGGUUGAUGCCUAAUACGUAUCAACUGUGACGUUACUCGCAGAAGAAGCACCGGCUAACUCCGUGCCAGCCGCCGCGGUAA
rnacentral:rRNA from 1 species